rnacentral:rRNA from 1 species
AUUGAACGCUAGCGGGAUGCCUUACACAUGCAAGUCGAACGGCAGCACGGACUUCGGUCUGGUGGCGAGUGGCGAACGGGUGAGUAAUGUAUCGGAACGUGCCUAGUAGCGGGGGAUAACUACACGAAAGCGUAGCUAAUACCGCAUACGCCCUACGGGGGAAAGCAGGGGAUCGCAAGACCUUGCACUAUUAGAGCGGC